GAUGAAGAACGUAGCGAAAUGCGAUAAGUAAUGUGAAUUGCAGAAUUCAGUGAAUCAUCGAAUCUUUGAACGCACAUUGCGCCCGCCAGUAUUCUGGCGGGCAUGCCUGUUCGAGCGUCAUUUCAACCAUCAAGCCCCCGGCUUGUGUUGGGGACCUGCGGCUGCCGCAGGCCCUGAAAAGCAGUGGCGGGCUCGCUGUCACACCGAGCGUAGUAGCAUACAUCUCGCUCUGGGCGUGCUGCGGGUUCCGGCCGUUAAACCACCUUCAUAACCCAAGGUUGACCUCGGAUCAGGGAGGAAGACCCGCUGAACUUAAGCAUAUCAAUAAGCGGAGGA
rnacentral:misc_RNA from 1 species